GACGAACGCUGGCGGCGUGCUUAACACAUGCAAGUCGAACGGAAAGGCCCUGCUUUUGUGGGGUGCUCGAGUGGCGAACGGGUGAGUAACACGUGAGUAACCUGCCCUUGUCUUUGGGAUAACUUCAGGAAACUGGGGCUAAUAUCGGAUAGGAGCUCCUGCUGCAUGGUGGGGGUUGGAAAGUUUCGGCGGUUGGGGAUGGACUCGCGGCUUAUCAGCUUGUUGGUGGGGUAGUGGCUUACCAAGGCUUUGACGGGUAGCCGGCCUGAGAGGGUGACCGGCCACAUUGGGACUGAGAUACGGCCCAGACUCCUACGGGAGGCAGCAGUGGGGAAUAUUGCACAAUGGGCGGAAGCCUGAUGCAGCAACGCCGCGUGCGGGAUGACGGCCUUCGGGUUGUAAACCGCUUUCGCCUGUGACGAAGCGUGAGUGACGGUAAUGGGUAAAGAAGCACCGGCUAACUACGUG
rnacentral:rRNA from 1 species